UCUCACAUCUUUGAAACUGCAUUCACUUGAUCUGGGGAGCAUACACUUGGGGAAGUCAGAAGACAACAUCAGGAGUCAGACUUCUUUUUGCACUGUGUGGGUGCUGGAAUUGAACUCAGGUCACCAGGCUUGAAGUCAGCACCUUUACCCACUGAGCCAUCUCAGCCUCCCUCCGCUACCGUUUUAUUAUGAAAAUGUUAAGCAUAAGUGAAAGCGACAAGAGUUGCCAUGGGUGCUCACAGUCUAUUCUGUCUCUUCUCUCAACCAUCAACCCACCUCCCCAUUGCACAGCCAGCCUCGGGCCCAACUUACAUUAAAUGGAUUUCAAAGGCUCAGGCCUACCAUCCCUGUACUUAAGAGUCUGAUGCAAGAAGAUUGCAAGUUCAAGGUUAACCUUGGCUAAAUGUUGAAACCGUCAGGGAAAAAAGUAGAAAGAAGGAAGGGAAAAAAGAAAGGAGGGAGAGAUGGGAGAGAGAGACAGAGAGAGAACAAUUGCAGAUGUGAAGGUGCUAAAUAUUACUGUGAACUGGACUGUUCUCUCAUGUGUGUCUGUGUUUAUUUGUGUGCAUGCAUGUGUACAUGUAUGUAUGCAUGCAUGCAUGCAUGCGUGUGUGUGUAUGCAUGCAUGUAUGUGUUUAUGUGUGUAUGUAUGUAUGCAUGUAUGUGUGUGUGUGUGUGUGUGUGUGUGUGUGUGAGAGAGAGAGAGAGAGAGAGAGAGAGAGAGAGAGAGAGAGAGAAACCCAGACUGGAGCAGAGUUCUGACUUUUGAACUUCUGAACAGCCUGCCUCGACCUCCCAAGUGCUGGGGUUGUAGGUGUGCACCACCACGUUUGUGUCACAUGCAUGUGUGCUGUCUGUACAUAUGGGUGCAGGUGCAUGCUCUUGUUGGAGUGGAGAGCAUAGGAAGACAUCAGGUGUCCUGCUCUGUCACUCUCUGGGUUACUCUCUUGAGGCAGUGUCUUGCACUCAGCCAAAGGCUAGACAGGCCGCCAGCAAGCCCCGCCCACCCUCCUUUGUGUCCAUCACCACCAAGCCCCACCCAUCCUGCUUUGUCCAUCACCACC
rnacentral:lncRNA from 1 species